GGAUAACCUACCCUUAGGACCGGGAUAACCUUGGGAAACUGAGGAUAAUACUGGAUAGGCAAUUAUUCCUGGAAUGGUUUUUUGUUUAAAUGUUUUUUCGCCUAAGGAUGGGUCUGCAGCCGAUUAGGUAGUUGGUUAGGUAACGGCUUACCAAGCCAUUGAUCGGUACGGGUUGUGAGAGCAAGAGCCCGGAGAUGGAACCUGAGACAAGGUUCCAGGCCCUACGGGGUGCAGCAGGCGCGAAACCUCCGCAAUGUGAGAAAUCGCGACGGGGGGAUCCCAAGUGCCAUUCUUAACGGGAUGGCUUUUCAUUAGUGUAAAGAGCUUUUGGAAUAAGGGCUGGGCAAGACCGGUGCCAGCCGCCGCGGUAACACCGGCAGCUCUAGUGGUAGCAGUUUUUAUUGGGCCUAAAGCGUCCGUAGCCGGUUUAAUAAGUCUCUGGUGAAAUCCUGUAGCUUAACUGUGGGAAUUGCUGGAGAUACUAUUAGACUUGAGACCGGGAGAGGUUAGAGGUACUCCCAGGGUAGAGGUGAAAUUCUGUAAUCCUGGGAGGACCGCCUGUUGCGAAGGCGUCUAACUGGAACGGUUCUGACGGUGAGGGACGAAAGUUAGGGGCGCGAACCGGAUUAGAUACCCGGGUAGUCCUAACCGUAAACGAUGCGGACUUGGUGUUGGGGUGGCUUUGAGCUGCUCCAGUGCCGAAAGGGAAGCUGUUAAGUCCGCC
rnacentral:rRNA from 1 species